CCUACGGGAGGCAGCAGUGAGGAAUAUUGGUCAAUGGGCGGGAGCCUGAACCAGCAAAGCCGCGUGAGGGAAGAAGGCCUUACGGAUUGUAAACCUCUUUUGCCGGGGAGCAACGGGGUCCUUGCGAGGGCCCGAUGAGAGUACCCGGAGAAAAAGCAUCGGCUAACUCCGUGCCAGUAGCCGCGGUAACACGGAGGAUGCGAGCGUUAUCCGGAUUUAUUGGGGUUAAUGGGUGCGUAGGCGGGCUGUUAAGUCAGCGGUAAAAUGUUGGGGCUAAAACCCGGACUGCCGUUGAAACUGGCGGCCUCGAGUGGGCGAGAAGUAUGCGGAAUGCGUGGUGUAGCGGUGAAAUGCGUAGAUAUCACGAAGAACUCCGAUUGCGAAGGCAGCAUACCGGCGCCCGACUGACGCUGAGGCACGAAAGCGUGGGUAUCGAACAGGAUUAGAUACCCUAGUAGUC
rnacentral:rRNA from 1 species